GACGUAGGGCGCGGGCGUUGUCCGGAUUUAUUGGGCGUAAAGAGCUCGUAGGCGGUUUGUUGCGUCGGCUGUGAAAUCCCGAGGCUCAACCUCGGGUCUGCAGUCGAUACGAGCAAACUAGAGUGUUGCAGGGGAGACUGGAAUUCCUGGUGUAGCGGUGAAAUGCGCAGAUAUCAGGAGGAACACCGGUGGCGAAGGCGGGUCUCUGGGCAACAACUGACGCUGAGGAGCGAAAGCGUGGGGAGCGAGCAGG
rnacentral:rRNA from 1 species